UAUUGAUUCUGAAAGAAGGAAAGAUGACUAAUCUUGUCCUUUUUAUUACUGGUUGUCCUUUCCGUGUAUAUUUAAGUAAUCAUUUGGAUAGAUGUUUCAAAACUUGCACUAGAAUUAAUCCAACUACGUUUGAUUUUUUCUCUUAAUGAAAUAGGCAAGAUAUCUGAAACUUGUUUUUAUUCCAGUUAACCUUUUUUCAUAGUCACAAGUCUUUGAUGUCCUAAAGUGAGAGCUAAAUAUGUUUUAUUUUAUAGAAUUGAAAAGAACAUAGUGCCAGAUGAUUAUGCUGGAGUCAUUUAUUUUGUUAGUACUUUCUUUUAGCACUCUAAUCUUUAUAAAUAGGAAAAUCUUAGGAGAUACAGGGAAUGGAAUCAAGAAUGGGUUCUUUGGACCUUUUUAUU
rnacentral:lncRNA from 1 species